rnacentral:tRNA from 1 species
GCCGGCGUGGCGGAAUUGGUAGACGCAGCAGACUCAAAAUCUGCCGCCCGCAAGGGUGUGGGAGUUCGAGUCUCCCCGCCGGUA